rnacentral:rRNA from 1 species
AGUGAACGCUGGCGGUAGGCCUAACACAUGCAAGUCGAACGGCAGCACAGGAGAGCUUGCUCUCUGGGUGGCGAGUGGCGGACGGGUGAGGAAUACAUCGGAAUCUACUCUGUCGUGGGGGAUAACGUAGGGAAACUUACGCUAAUACCGCAUACGACCUACGGGUGAAAGCAGGGGACCUUCGGGCCUUGCGCGAUUGAAUGAGCCGAUGUCGGAUUAGCUAGUUGGCGGGGUAAAGGCCCACCAAGGCGACGAGCCGUAGCUGGUCUGAGAGGAUGAUCAGCCACACUGGAACUGAGACACGGUCCAGACUCCUACGGGAGGCAGCAGUGGGGAAUAUUGGACAAUGGGCGCAAGCCUGAUCCGGCCAUACCGCGUGGGUGAAGAAGGCCUUCGGGUUGUAAAGCCCUUUUGUUGGGAAAGAAAUCCAGCUGGCUAAUACCCGGUUGGGAUGACGGUACCCAAAGAAUAAGCACCGGCUAACUUCGUGCCAGCAGCCGCGGUAA